GAUGGACGCCACCACUCCCAAGUACUCGAAGGCUCGUUACGAAGAAAUUGUUAAGGAGGUCUCUUCGUACCUGAAGAAGGUCGGCUACAACCCUGACAAGGUUCCCUUCGUCCCCAUCUCUGGGUUCGAGGGUGACAACAUGAUUGAGAGGUCCACCAACCUUGACUGGUACAAGGGCCCAACCCUGCUUGAGGCACUUGACCAGAUCAACGAGCCCAAGAGGCCCUCAGACAAGCCCCUCCGUCUUCCCCUACAGGAUGUUUACAAGAUUGGUGGCAUUGGAACUGUGCCUGUUGGCCGUGUUGAGACUGGUGUCAUCAAGCCUGGUAUGGUUGUUACCUUUGGUCCCACUGGUCUGACAACUGAGGUCAAGUCCGUUGAGAUGCACCAUGAGUCUCUCCUGGAGGCGCUUCCUGGUGACAACGUUGGCUUCAACGUCAAGAACGUUGCCGUGAAGGAUCUGAAGCGUGGGUUUGUUGCAUCCAACUCCAAGGAUGACCCUGCCAAGGAGGCAGCCAACUUCACCUCCCAGGUCAUCAUCAUGAACCACCCUGGUCAGAUUGGCAACGGCUACGCCCCAGUGCUGGACUGCCACACCUCACACAUUGCUGUCAAGUUUGCUGAGCUGGUGACCAAGAUCGACAGGCGGUCUGGUAAGGAGCUGGAGGCCCUGCCCAAGUUCCUCAAGAAUGGUGAUGCUGGCAUAGUGAAGAUGAUUCCCACCAAGCCCAUGGUUGUGGAGACCUUUGCCACUUACCCUCCUCUUGGUCGUUUUGCUGUCCGUGACAUGAGGCAGACUGUGGCUGUUGGUGUCAUCAAGGGCGUUGAGAAGAAGGACCCAACCGGGGCCAAGGUGACCAAGGCUGCCAUCAAGAAGAAGUAAUUCCACAAUUGAUAUCCAAAUCACUGUUUCAGACACCAAGCAGUUUUUAGUAUUGGCUGAGUUUUGUUAAGGGCAUUGUUCGUACUGGGUAUAUUUUAGCUGUUCAGCUGUUAGCGCUGCAUAUCGUGCCCUUGGUGGUGUCUGUCUUGUGCCUUACAUACUGUCCUAAUGUAAGCUUUGGUGAAACCUGGAUGUUAUGAGACCUGGUUUGUGUCUUUUAAUACUAGCUUGUUGCAUUUUAUCUGU
rnacentral:lncRNA from 1 species